CCAUCCAUCAUCCAUCCUCCAUCCAUCCAUCCAUCAUCCAUCCAUCCAUCAUCCAUCCAUCCAUCCUCCAUCCAUCCAUCAUCCAUCCAUCCAUCAUCCAUCCAUCAUCCAUCCAUCCAUCAUCCAUCCAUCCAUCCAUCAUCCAUUAUCCAUCAUCCAUCAUCCAUCCAUCCAUCCAUCAUCCAUCCAUCCAUCAUCCAUCCAUCCAUCCAUCCAUCAUCCAUCAUCCAUCCAUCCAUCAUCCAUCCAUCAUCCAUCCAUCAUCCAUCCAUCCAUCCAUCCAUCAUCCAUCAUCCAUCCCACCACCAUCCCACCCCACCCCACCACCCCAUUCCCGCUCCCACCUUGGCCUUGCCGGUGCUCUGCAGGAUGUGCACCAGCGCGCAGGCCACCUCCUCCUUGCUCUUGACGCUCAGCACCGGCUCCAGCACGGCGCACAGCAUGCGGUAGUUGUUGGUGACGUACUCGGCGAACUCCUUGUACAGCUCCAUGGGCAGGAUGCUCAUGGUCUGGAAGCGGCUCUUCACCCGCAGCGCCGGACAGCCGGCCUUGCUCUUGCUGCCGCUGGGCUGGCUCAGGGGGUACCACUGCUCGGCGAAGUGCCGCCCGGUGACGCUGGCGAUGGGGAUGCUCACCAUGCCCACGUAGUUGCUCUUGUCCUUCUUCCUCUUCUUGUCGGUGUCCUUGUAGAGGUGCAGGCGGAUGGUGCGCACGGCCGGCAGGUUGUUGAACUCGAAGUGCUCGCCCCAGAAGACGUUGUCGGUGCGGGCCUUGCUGGUGGUGCGGGCGUACAGCAUGUCGUCCAGGCACAGCUCGCAGUAGUAGCGCUUCUUGGGCGGCAGGUCGCGCGCCUCGAUCACCCACAGCUUCAGCACGUUGUCCACGCGACGGCUGUUGUCCUGCGGGGUGGGAAAGGAGCACGUGGUCACCGUGUGGUCAGUGCCUGUGGUCACCCCUGAUCACCCACAGCUUCAGCACGUUGUCCACGUGACGGCUGUUGUCUUGCAGGGCGGGGAGGAGAGUGUGGUCACCGUGUGGUCAGCACACACGGUCAGCAAUCGGUCAGUGUGCGUGGUCAGCGCACGCUGUCACUGUGUGGUCAGUGCCCAUGGUCACUGUGUGGUCAGUGCAUGCUGUCACCGUGUGGUCAGUGUCCAUUGUCACCGUGUGGUCAGUGCCCAUGGUCACCGUGUGGUCAGUGCACAUUGUCACCGUGUGGUCAGUGCACGCUGUCACCAUGUGGUCAGUGCAUGCUGUCACCGUGUGGUCAGUGCUCAUUGUCACCGUGUGGUCAGUGCACAUUGUCACCGUGUGGUCAGUGCACACGGUCACCGUGUGGUCAGUGCCCAUGGUCACUGUGUGGUCAGUGCCCAUGGUCACCGUGUGGUCAGUGUCCAUUGUCACUGUGUGGUCAGUGCACAUUGUCACCGUGUGGUCAGUG
rnacentral:lncRNA from 1 species